rnacentral:lncRNA from 1 species
GCUAAACGAUGCACACCUGUAACUCACGUGACCCUGGUUAUUAUUGAAACGAGAACGAGGGCGUCGUGCCUUUAUAAGACUGCGUUAAUGGUUCCGUGGAGUUAUCCCUUCCGUUGUUGUUUAUUGAUUGUUAAACAUGGCUUCAUUUACAAAGGUGGUUGUGUGUGUCCUCAUUGCUUGUGUCUGUAAUGCAUUCGGUUUUCCGAAGAGAGAUGUGAACUUUAAGGCCUCUGCAGUUGACCGCCAAAGUGAUGAUGUGGUUGUCACCACAACAGCCGUUCCCCACAACCAGACCACCUCUGCCCCUACUGAAGCUGGUGGUGGAGCAAGUGAAGAUGCUGUGGCUACUACCCCAGCACCUAAUCCACACAACCAGACAACUUCUGCACAAACUGAAGUUACUGAUGGGGCCAGUGAAGAUGCUGUGGACCGCCAAAGUGAUGAUGUGGUUGUCGCCACAACACCCGUUCCCCACAACCAGACCACCUCUGCCCCUACUGAAGCUGAUGGAGCAAGUGAAGAUGCUGUGGCUACCACCCCAACACCAAAUCCCCCAACUACAUCUGACCACACUGCAGCUACCGAUGAUGCAAGUGAGGGUGCUGUGGCUGCCCAAACUGGAACUACUGUAUCCCAUACGACUGAAGUCUGAUUCGACUGCUCCUCUGGUCACAAUGACCUGUCUGGACUUUUUGCCUCUACAUGUUCACUGCAAUAAAGGACAGAUUUGUAUUUUUUUUUUAAUCAAAUGUUGUCUUGCCUUUUUCAAAUUGAGGCCUUGUCCUGUUUUGGUAGUGGAGAUAACUGACGCCUCUUUCCUAACGCACUACAUUUCUGGCAACUUAUAAUGCAUAGUGAACAUGUAAUAAUUCGGUGGUAUGAUCCCAGGAGAACAUUUUUAAGAAACAAAUCACAGAAUUGUGGUUCCUCGCCGUUUUUUUUUUAAUAUAAAUCGAGGCUUUCCUCAUAAUACCGCAAGAACAA